rnacentral:rRNA from 1 species
CCUACGGGUGGCUGCAGUGGGGAAUAUUGCACAAUGGGGGAAACCCUGAUGCAGCGACGCCGCGUGAGGGAAGAAGUAUUUCGGUACGUAAACCUCUAUCAGCAGGGAAGAAAAUGACGGUACCUAACGAAGAAGCACCGGCUAACUACGUGCCAGCAGCCGCGGUAAUACGGAGGGGGCAAGCGUUAUACGGAAUGACUGGGCGUAAAGGGAGCGUAGACGGCAGCGCAAGUCAGGAGUGAAAUCCCAUGGCUUAACCAUGGAACUGCUUUUGAAACUGUGAAGCUGGAGUGCAGGAGAGGUAAGCGGAAUUCCUGGUGUAGGGGUGAAAUGCGUAGAUAUUAGGAGGAACACCAGUGGCGAAGGCGACUUACUGGAACGUAACUGACGUUGAGGCACGAAAGCGUGGGGAGCAAACAGGAUUAGAUACCCUAGUAGUC